CCUACGGGGGGCAGCAGUGAGGAAUAUUGGUCAAUGGCCGAGAGUCUGAACCAGCCAAGUAGCGUGAAGGAUGACUGCCCUAUGGGUUGUAAACUUCUUUUAUAUGGGAGUAAAGUGUUCCACGUGUGGGAUUUUGUAUGUACCAUAUGAAUAAGGAUCGGCUAACUCCGUGCCAGCAGCCGCGGUAAUACGGUGGAUCCGAACGUUAUCCGGAUUUAUUGGGUUUAAAGGGGGCGUAUGUGGAUUGUGCAGUCAGUUGUGAAAGUUUGGGGCUGAAACGUAAAAUUGCAGUUGAAACUGGCAGUCUUGAGUACAGUAGAGGUGGGCGGAAUGCGUGGUGUAGCGGUGAAAUGCAUAGAUAUCACGAAGAACUCCGAUUGCGAAGGCAGCUCACUGGACUGCAACUGACACUGAGGCUCGAAAGUGUGGGUAUCAAACAGGAUUAGAUACCCCAGUAGUC
rnacentral:rRNA from 1 species